ACAAUUUUGAGACUUAGAAGAUUUUUUUAUAAAAUUAAAUUAUAAAUUAAAUUGCCAAAUAAAAUUAUUA
rnacentral:tRNA from 1 species